GCCGCCGUGACCUCCGGAGGCGCCGGCCGCCUUAACCGUUUGCGCCCCGCGGGCCCUCGCGCACGCCCUGCGGACGCCGAAGCGCGCCGGCGGCCCUCGCGCGGGCCCUGCCUCGGGCCACACGGAGCCCCUUAUUGAUUUUCUUAAUUCACCAGUGUUUCAAGUAUUAAGUGCUUCCCAGAAUGCUCUUUUGAUUCUUGCCAGUUUUAUUUCGGGCGGGGUUGGGGGCUGGUGGUGCUAAAACAAGACGUUUGCUUCUCUCCGCCACUUUGCAAGCCAGCAAUACAGAACACAAAUGAUCAUUACAUCUGUGAGCAGAUGGGCCUAAUUCGGGGAGGAAUUGAUUUCCCGGGAGCUGCUGCGAUCCUUGGGGACGUGGACGCCCCCGGAGCGCGGCGCGCCGGUGUCACGCGUGCCCCGUGCCGAGAGACCGCUCCCGCGCGUGACCUCGGCGCCCGCCGGCCUGGCCCCCUCUGCAGGAUCAGAAACCUUGGAGCGACCCCACUUGAAACUGAUGGUGGCGUUUCCAGCACCGUGGGACGAAGGUCAGGAGAGCAGCAGACCCUGAACUGGGUCUUGCCGGUGACUGGGAAGGAAGGACUGAAAACAGCUCCGUCCCAACAGGCCACUUGGCCCCAUCUCACUUGGCCAGCAGGUGCUCAGUUGGCCAUGGGGCUGUGAGCCCCGGGGCCGGACCGGAAGAACUUGGACGUCCAGCUGUCCCCCAAGCUUCUCCAAACAUGGAAUGACACGGACACAUGCAUAUAACCAAAGGAGAGAGUCCCUUCUUACGGGAAGGACGGCGUAAAGGAGAUUGCCCUGCACGUGUGUCCCUUUACCUCCUCCACAGUCCCCAAGGGCUUUCCCUGCUUGCUUCCCCUCUGGCCUUCCGCAGUUUAAAACAGCAUUAGCAGAGCUUAGGAUAUGCCAAGCACCUGUUUAGUCCAGUUAAGGACAAAGGCUAGAAGCCAUAUAAAACUUUUUAAAAAUUGAGGCUUAACUACCUUUCUUUGCCUUCAUCCAGAGGACUUCAAUGGCAAUUAUGGAUUGCAUGGAUUUCCAGCUUUGAGCUAAGCAGUUACAUUUGCUUCCCAAAUGCAAACACACAGUCCUUGAAAGGGCAGCAUGGUCUCUGGACAUGAGGGCCACAUCCUCGGUGGUCAUAGUUACCACUUCCUGAGCUCACCGAUCUCUGCCAGAGCUCCCUCCUGGCAUCAUGUCACACAUCAUUACUACAGUCUUACGAAGUUUGUCUGCUUAUUCCCAUUGUCCCACACCCAAGCGGGGGAGAGAUGGGACGCAACACAUCACCAGUUUCUAGACAGCUUCCCUCCACGCUUUCCAGCAAACAGAGCAGAGCCAAGCAUCGUGAGAGCAGGAAGAACACUGGCCCCGUGUGGACCUCUGGCAGCGGCGUGAGCGGUUGUGAACAGUGGGGGUGAGCGGCAGCAAGCGAUGCUCCCAAAUUUCCCCCUUUUUGUAAGGACACCAGUCCCUGGACCAGAGGCCAUCUUAAUCCAGAAUGACCUCACCUUAACUUGAUGGCAUCUGCAAUGACCCUAUUUCCCAAUAAGGUCACAUCCGCAAGGACCGGGAGUUAGGACUUAGACAUAUCUUUCUGGGGGACACGAUUCAACCCGCAAUAGGGACUUGUGAGAAACCACCAGGACCUGCCUCAGAGACACCCCAGCAGAGGAAGGGGCGCCCACUGCCUCCCACAGGCCACGAGAACAGAUGUGGCAUCUCACGGUCUGUUGGUGGUGCUCAGGAUGGUGGUGCCCCCCUGACCCGUCUGUUGGGAACUUACCGUCAUCGGCCGUGUGUCUCAGCAACAUCUCACUUGGCGUUGCCGUAGCCGAUAGUCCCUCCGGUCCCACCAGCUGGGGUUCUGCACACGGGUGCCCUGGAACACAGCCCCCCCGGGCAGGUGUCCAGCAACAGGGGUCAGUGCUCCAGCAUCCUUCAAAGGAGACCAGCAAGGUCUGUGAGCGUCAUUAUGCACUCGGAAGCUUCCUAACUUCUCUGUUUCGUGUUUGUUGGGAGAUGUUUCCCUACGAGUCUCUCGCCUUUCUGAGGAGCUGGGCAGAGGUAAUGACAGCUUUUGUUCUGACCAUCCUUUCAAGAGUGUUUAGGAGCAAACAUCUGCAAACAUAGAGACAUCAUCCCCUCCUGGGCAGAGGGCGCAUUUGCUUGCUGACCUGCAGAUUGAAAAUAAGGUCUCCUGGGGGACAAAGUUCGGCCGGUUUACUUGCAGUCCCUUGAAAGGUUAGGGUUGCUAAGCUCGGGCUCCACGGUGAUGCUACAAACCGGCCGUGUAUGCAGCACCCCCCCCCGGGGGGCCCACCCUGCAUUGCUUUGGACGUGGGAGCAAAACUGGGGCCCAUGCUGCCUGCUUGGCCGUGAGUCACACGGUCCCUGGUGCCCAGCCUGGCAGCGGUCACCCUCCAGCUCUGACUCUAUUAGCUUCGAGCAGGCUAAGAUCCCAGAGCCACAGUGGUCCUUCAGAACGCCAGUGCUCACUUCCCAGGAUGAACCAGCAACAACUUUCUUCUUUCUGAACAUGGCUUUCAUGGGGUCCCCUGAGUUUUAUUAGGAAGAGCUCCUUCUUCAUUGCCUCCAAGGGGAUUUGUAAUCCCCCUUUUGAUUUCGUCUCCAAUCAAAUAUUUAUCUAGGAAUGUGUUUCUUAAUUACCAAGAAAUGAAGACUUUGUUGGCCAUUGAAUGUGAUUAGGCAAUUGAGCCUAGAAAUCUCUGCUUUCCGAAGCUGGCUGAAGACGUUGACUGACCCAUGAUCAUAUAUACGAAAGAAGGCCCAUACUCUGUUCAAGAGGUUAUAUAUUUAUUAUGUGCAGGUUUUGUGCUUUUUUUAAAAGAACUUUUUAUUCCAAAAUCAUUUUAGGACUACAGUGGGUUUUGAGACUAGUGUAGAGAGCUCCCAUGCACACUUCGGCCAGCUCCCUUCAGGGACAAUGCCCCGGAGCGCAUCUCUGUGCAGCACGACUGAGAUGUUGUUCACCGAACCGCAGACGCUACCACUCGGCUCUCGCAACACUUCCAUAUGCUUCUGUACCUUCCGUCGCACGUGUGUGCUGGGUCACCAGCACAGCCGGGCUGCAGACCGCUCUGUCCGGGCCACCCCUCUGCAGCCCCAGCCUGCCCGCCGAACCUCUGAAUCCCGUCCCACCUCUGCGUCAGUUACAUGUGUCCGGUUCUCCGAGACACAGAUGUUACAUAAAGCUUCCCUAAAAUUCAGAUCCUGGUAACAUGUUAUAUAUGACGUUCAAUGCACAGUUGAUCGUCAGACACAAAUCCCCACAUUGAAAAGUAGGAGUCCACGACACCAGUGUGCUCUACCCUCUUUCUGCCACCACCUGCCCCUGAGGGCGGCUUCUGGAACAUGCUAUGCUCUCCUCCUCGCCAGCCUGCAGGCCCACGCUUCCCGAUGCCCCUUUCCUCCCUGGAACUCCUAUACUUUGCAAUCAGUUAGUUUAGUUUUAACCCGUUAUUAGUAUUUUAUUUGUAGAAUAGACCUUUCCUGGGAGUUUUUAUUGAGCACUGAUAACUGCAUGUAUGUGGGCAUGCGUGUGCGUGUGCGUGUGUCUCUGUAUCCUGUUCACCACCAUUUCUGCUUCUCCGCAUCAUGCAUCCUCGGCUUGGCGUGUUCUCGGUGUCAAGGCUCAGGUGUGUAUGUCUGGUGGGGCCGUGUUUGUAGACACGCAUUUACCUCCCAAGCAGUGAAUGGUGCGUUGGCCGGAUA